GACGAACGCUGGCGGCGUGCUUAACACAUGCAAGUCGAACGGAAAGGCCCUGCUUUUGUGGGGUGCUCGAGUGGCGAACGGGUGAGUAACACGUGAGUAACCUGCCCUUGACUUUGGGAUAACUUCAGGAAACUGGGGCUAAUACCGGAUAGGAGCUCCUGCUGCAUGGUGGGGGUUGGAAAGUUUCGGCGGUUGGGGAUGGACUCGCGGCUUAUCAGCUUGUUGGUGGGGUAGUGGCUUACCAAGGCUUUGACGGGUAGCCGGCCUGAGAGGGUGACCGGCCACAUUGGGACUGAGAUACGGACCAGACUCCUACGGGAGGCAGCAGUGGGGAAUAUUGCACAAUGGGCGGAAGCCUGAUGCGGCAACGCCGCGUGCGGGAUGACGGCCUUCGGGUUGUAAACCGCUUUCGCCUGUGACGAAGCGUGAGUGACGGUAAUGGGUAAAGAAGCACCGGCUAACUACGUG
rnacentral:rRNA from 1 species